AACGAACGCUGGCGGCAUGCCUAACACAUGCAAGUCGAACGAGACCUUCGGGUCUAGUGGCGCACGGGUGCGUAACGCGUGGGAACCUGCCCUUAGGUUCGGAAUAACUCCCCGAAAGGGGUGCUAAUACCGGAUAAUGUCUUCGGACCAAAGAUUUAUCGCCUUUGGAUGGGCCCGCGUUGGAUUAGCUAGUUGGUAGGGUAAAAGACUACCAAGGCGACGAUACAUAGCUGGUCUGAGAGGAUGAUCAGCCACACUGGGACUGAGACACGGCCCAGACUCCUACGGGAGGCAGCAGUGGGGAAUAUUGGACAAUGGGCGAAAGCCUGAUCCAGCAAUGCCGCGUGAGUGAUGAAGGCCUUAGGGUUGUAAAGCUCUUUUACCCGGGAUGAUAAUGACAGUACCGGGAGAAUAAGCGCCGGCUAACUCCGUG
rnacentral:rRNA from 1 species